rnacentral:rRNA from 1 species
ACUCCUACGGGAGGCAGCAGUGGGGAAUAUUGCACAAUGGGCGCAAGCCUGAUGCAGCAACGCCGCGUGAGCGAUGAAGGCCUUCGGGUCGUAAAGCUCUGUCCUCAAGGAAGAAUAAAUGACGGUACUUGAGGAGGAAGCCCGGCUAACUACGUGCCAGCAGCCGCGGUAAUACGUAGGGGCAAGCGUUAUCCGGAAUCACUGGGCGUAAAGGGUGCGUAGGCGGUUUUUCAAGUUCAGAAGUGAAAGGCUAUGGCUCAACCAUAGUAAGCUUUUGAAACUGUUAAACUUGAGUGCAGGAGAGGAAAGUGGAAUUCCUAGUGUAGAGUGAAAUUCGUAGAUAUUAGGAGGAACACCAGUGGCGAAGGCGACUUUCUGGACUGUAACUGACGCUGAGGCACGAAAGCGUGGGAGCGAACAGGAUUAGAUACCCUAGGUGCACAGAG